ensembl:ncRNA C34E11.19 ncRNA
CAUAACGAUAUAUAAUCAAGUUGCAAAACACUUGAAGAAAUUGAGAAUAGGAAUAAAACAAUCACACGUUGGAAAAAGGGUUUAGUUUCAAUUUCUAUCUCCCCCUCUUUUCCUCGUGUUUGUUAUUUGCCUCCUUGAUUUCCGCA